GGACAUGGCCCCUGCCUUCUUGGUGAAUGUGUGAACAUGCAAUCUAUCAGUCAGGGGAACACACCAGGGAAAUGAAGCAGGGCAGGAGGGUUGAGAGGUGUAUGUGUGUGUGUAUUGCAUUGUUUUAUGUCAGGUGAUCAGGAGAGGCCUCUGUGAAGAGGUGAUAUUUGAACAGUGACCUGUGCAAAGUAAGGGAGAGAGCUCUGUGCACAGCUAGGGAAGGGCAUUCCGGGCAGAGGGCACAGCAACUGCAAAGGCCCUGAGGUGGAUACUCAGUGGCCUGGAGUAAGUGGGUGAAGGUGGGGCAGGGACACCCUGCAGACUUCUGGCAUGACUGCCAGGAAUCUGUGCAGAAGGAGGUGGGAAAGGGCCCUCAGGAGAGUGUGAAGGGAGUCAGGAUGCAUGUGCAUCCUGCAAGCAGGCAGUGUUACUCUCACUGGGCAGGCACGUGUUAUAUGCCUGCUACAUGUGUGGUCUGUGGAGGGUUGGAUUGCAUCUCCUGGGGGGGCACUGACCCAGCAGGGUGGCAGUCACUUGGGGGGCUAUGCCCACUCCAGCUCCCUGGUCUGGUAUGUGGGCCUCUGUGUGAACAGGGUUGGUGCAGAGACUCAUGGUCCUGAGGUGUCAUGUGGCCCUGAAAGCUCCCUCCCCGCCAGUACCCUGGAACCCUGGCCAGGUGUCCUAGAAAUGCUGCUCUGAUCAGGUCUGUCUCCCUGGCUGCCUUCUGCCACCUGCCCGCCCUGCACCACUUAGCUGGUGACUCUGCCCCCACCCCCUCUCUUGCCCGCUGCCCACAGCCCCACACAGGCCUCUGCCGGCACCGUCUGUGCUGUUCACAUGGCUGGGCACAGGCUGCCCACUCCAGCUCAUCACCAUGCUGGCAUUCAGCAGCUGCACGUGGGUAAGGCACCGAGUCCCUGAGUACUGAACAUCUCCUUACCAGUUGAUAACUUGCUCCCGCCUUGCCCCCACUAGUUCACCCCCCACCAUUUCCCUGGUUGCUCGUCUUCUUGCCCAGGACCUGCAGGACCUGUCUUUCAAUGAUUCAGCAUCUGAAGGGUUGGCACCUGACAGCCGAAGUUCCAACACCUGCCCAAGGCUGUAGAAUGUCUGUCUAAUGGCUGAACACCCACACCUGACUGGUGCCAAGAGUUUUUAUAUGACCGUGCCUGGGUAGCUUGUCCCCCCUCUUCUGCGUCCCGCCCUCACUCUCGGGACUUGGCUCACACUAGCUCUUUGCCAGUUAAGUGGCCACUGGAUGCUCAGAGUCCGGAAAGGGCAGUAGCUGAGCAGGGAGCUGUGGGGAAGAGCUGGGAAGGGUUGGUGACAAUGGGCGGCCCCGGGGCAGAGGCGUCAGGAGGCCCUGCUCUCAGACUCGGACCUGGUUCCCGCAGGUGGAGGAUGUCUUCCUCCCCUCCAGCAUAGGCUCCUCCCGCAGCACCUGGUGGAGCACAGCCCCCAGGGGCACAUGCAGGCUUGGGCUGCCCUGACUGCCCAUCAUGAGGCAGAUGAUGGGCUUGGCACCGCUGCUCACAGCCAAGGAGAGGCACGCCAAUUGGUGAACAGAGCCUUUGUCUCCCCGGGCUGAUGGAGGAACCAGUAGAUGCUGAGGGGCAGGGUGCAGACGAACACCAGGAUGGCCAGGAUGACCAUGUAUAGUUGCAUGGGCUGCCACUGUCAGGAGCUUCUUUGAGGCUGGAUGAAGAAGACCACCCAGGACAGGACCACGAAAGUCAUGAAGCUGCCCAGUGUGAAGAUGUGGAAGACGGUGUCCACCGUGGAGCCCUGCCACAGGUGGGGGCUUCUGAGCCAGCAGAAGUACAGGGCCAGCAUGCCCCAUCCUGCGAAUCAAAAGCCUUGGUCUUUAAAAAAUCACCUUUGCUGGAGAGCCGACUUCAAAACUCAUCGAAGAAGGACCAGGGCUUAGGACUUGGACAGGCCUUUUGGGGGCACCAUCCGAUCCAGGUAUCCCACCGCACUGAGCAUCACCCCUGAUAAAGGAGGGGCUGCUUUACCCUCUGAUCCGUGAGAUGCGCCAGUGAGCUACACUGAGGCCGGAUCCCGCUGCCCUAGCCGACGGAGUCACAGUCCAGGCCUGGACCAGCCGGGCCAGGAGCACAGCCCUCACCCUGCACUUGUCACAGGGAUGGUCCCGUAUUUAAGCGGGAAAUGCCUCAUGUGGCAGCCGUGGCCCCCCGAGAGCACCGUCAGUGGUGCAGAGCCUCACACACGGGCUCACGGAGGGGGUUCAGUGGCGGAGUUAAGAGGGACACAGAUUGUAGGUCACCUGCUGGGAGACCCCCCCCCUCCUGGCCCUGAGGCUGGCUGUGAAGGAAUGUUCUGGGCCUCCCAUCCAUGCUGGGCCGGGAAGCUGGCUUCACGCCUCCCCACCCGCUUUCCAAUGUAAACAGCCGCCUUGGGAGAGCCUGUGGGCUGGAAGGAGCUUGAUCUCCUUGUCUGUUGUUUGCACUAGUGAAGCAGCAGAGGCGACAAGAACAAAAAUGGCCUGAAAUCAGCUUUUUUUUUUUCAUUAAUCAGUUUUUCCCACCUACUUUUUUUUCCCACUGAAGUAGAUGAAGAAAAAGAUUCACUCUCCAUUUGCCUUCUUCCUUUGAACAAAGAGAAGCUUAUCUCAAGCUGUGUCCUUGAGAUAGAAAUAUUAGCCUGAGGACGGGCCACGCAUGACAGUGGUCCACAAUCUGCUUGGGUCCCUCCUGCAUGCAGGCGGUGUAGGCUGGUGGGUCCACAGGGGUGCUGUGAGUGUUGUCCCCGUGGGCAGAAGGGAAGGGGACACUAGGGAGGGGCACCCGGGGAUGAGCGAGUGGCUGAGUGCUGAGUUGAAGCUAGGCCUGCGGUGUGUUCUGAACCCUCGUGUGCCCCUGCCUCCUGCUCCGUGUCCUCUCCCUGUGCUGGCCGCAGUGUCCUGCCCUGGGGCGACAGUGCCCAGCCGCCCACGACCUGGAAGCUGGGGCCUCAGCUGCUGCCCAUUGCUGCUCCCUGUGCAGGGCUGGCCUGGGGAGUGGUCUCCUGAUGCUCCUGGAAGUCCUCUCCCUGGGAUCAGGGUCCUUGUCCUCCCAGAAGCAGGAAUUGGGGUGCAAGGUACAAAUGUGCGUGUAGUUGGGAGGCCCAGGGAGGCGGGUCUGCCCCGAGCAGCAGCCCCAUCAGCUCCGGUCAGUGGACAGUCCUUGGGGUGGGGUGGCGUAGGCACGAUCAUGGCCCCCAACAAUGUCCAGGCCUGUUAGGGGCUGAAUCCUGUCCCCCACAAAGAAUAUAUGAUGGAGUCCUAAUGCUCAGAACCUCCGAAUGUGACCCUAUUUGGAAAUAAAGUCUUUGCAGAUGUGACCAAGUGAAGAUGAGAUCAUGACGGGGGUCCCUGAUAAGUGUGGCCGGUGUCCUUAUACAAACGAGAGAUUUGGACUCACACUCGCAGCAAAGGAAGACGACGGGCUGCGUCUACAAGCCGAGGAACAUGGGAGCUUGCAUGAAGCCGGCCUGAAAAGGAGUUGACAAAGGAAGUCAAAGAUGAGAGAUGAGAACAGAUUCCAGACCACCGCAAGAUCCCGCUAUGCCGGAAGUGAGACCUUGCCCUGCACGUCUUCAUUGGGUGCUACUUAACCUCUGGAAAGCAGUGUGCCUCAUCUCAUGGACACGGUUUCUGUCACUUGCAAAUGACAGAGUCCCAGCCACACCUGCCCCCUGAAUAUAUGCGGUGGGUGCUACAUGUGGCAAACCCAGCGUAUGGGCUGAGCAGGCUCUGCGUCACCCCACUGCCCGGCCAGACAUUGCAAUCCUUGCUGCGAGGUGGCCUGUCAUUGUGCAAACUCUGUUCUGUGUAAACUCUGAAUAUUAUGCUCACAUGAUGUUUAACUGAGUUUGCUCAAGCCGCCAUAACUAAUGCUAUAGGUGGGGCUCACAUAACAGGACUCACGGUCCCCCCGUCCUGGAGGCUGGAAGCCUGAGGUCCAGGCGUGGGCAGGCAGGUCCUCCUGGGGCCUCUCUGCGUGUAUGUGGACAGCCGUGCUCUCCCUAGGGCUUCACAGGGUCGUCCCUCUAUGUGUGUCUGUGUUCUGAUCCCCUCUCCUUACAAGGACCCCAGUCACAUGGGAUCAGGGCCUCCCUGGUGACCUCGUGUUAUCUUGAUCACCUCUUUGAAGGCCCUAGCUCAAAAUACAGCCCCUUUACGAAGUACUGGGGUUAGGACUUCAACAUAGGAAUUUGGGGGACACAAUGCAGCCCAUAUCAGAGCCUUGGAAAAAUGGGUAGGAAAGGUCAGAAUUUCAGAGGCUUCUGGGCAUUCCCAGUAAUGUCCUCUAAGACUCAAACCUGAAUCCCAGAAGCUGAACUCUCUAAAAGUAGUAGGAAUAAUAAAGCCGUGUGGAGAGAGAGGUCCUUUUGCCUCUUUGGGGUCAGCAGUUCAAAGGGGCUGAGAGUCAGGUGACCUGAGCCUGCAGGGGGCAGUGAACCCCUGCUUCAAGUCCCCGCAGGGGCAGGGGUCCUACCAUCCGAUCCGAUCUGGGGAGGCCCCCCAGUGCACAAUUCCUGCCUGAGGAGCUGGACGUUAUCUCAGCUGUAAGGGCCAUGCGUGUCCUCAGCUGUGACCUGGGCUCCCCCCAACACUGCGCCCCAACCCAAAAUAGCGAAUGGGGAGCCUGAUGCAGGCCGGGGAGCUGGGGAGCCGGGGAGGGGAGAGGAGGGGCUUCACUCUGCAGUGUCAGUCCCAGGGCCGAGACUUGGCUUUGCUUUGAAUCCAAGGAGUUGAUGGAAUGUGCAUCCUCCACGAGGCAACCCCACUUUUAAGGGAGUUGGCAGCACAUCACAUCCCAGGCCUGGGUGGCCAGGAGCGGCGUGCUGUCACCAAGACGAGAGCUGCAGGUGUUUCUUAGUGGGGAAUUCCAUUCCGGCCGCGCAGCUGGUGUAGCUCUCUCCGGACUGAGACAGUCAGCAUAUCCCAUCUCUUCGGCUACGGGAUUGGUUUGGGAGGAGGCGCAUGACUCUAUUUCAGGAAGGCCAGAAUCUAAUUUAUCCAAUGAGAGGCAGCCCUGGUAGUUUGAUGGAAACACUUUCCAUUGGGGGGAGGGCCUCUCCUCCUGGUACGAAACAGGCAGAAUGGAAGUCUGAGAAGUGAGACCUGUUAGGCCAGCAGCGGGGAGAGCGGGAGGAGAGUCAGGUUCACAGUCGCUGUCAAGGUCCCGAGGACACCUGGAUCCACCCGUGCCUGAAGCCAUGUUUUUUUUCAAGUUUUUCCAAAAGCCACUAAAUUCCUUUUCCCUUUAUCUAGUUCAGCUUCGGUUUUGUUCACGCAGCCUUAAGUAUCUUUACUUACACAGUUUCUUGGAAGACAAGUGGAAGAGCCUGUUGAGGUUCUGGGGUUGAGAUAGUUCUAAUCAACCCCAUCUGACUUAUGGAGAAAGAAAGAAACAGAAAGACACUGUUUAAAAGCCUGUCAGGGAACCGCUGAGUUACUGGCGCCUGGAGAGCAGGCUGGGAGAGCAGAUGGAGGGUGGGGCUCUAGAUUCCUUUUUUAUGGGGUCUUCUGGGCCCUUCCACCUACAUCAAGCUGAGGGCCGUCUGUCAUCUGGGCCCCUGGCCUGGGUGAGUGUCAGGGUGGUGUUAGGAGGCGCCCCAGCCUCAGGACCACAGGCAGCCUCGGGUGCAGAUGUGGGGGGCGGGGGUGUCCACUUCCUAUAGACACAGGCCUAGGGACACAUUCCACUGGGUCUUAAGUAACUUUGCACCCUCCUUUGUUAAGCGCUCCCCAAAACCCAUCCCCAUACAAAUCAUCCCGAUGUUGACAAAUAGAACUGAAUUCCUGCUUUUCUCUCCACCCACCCUGGCUCAGGUGGGGAGCUGAUUGAUCCCAGGCAGAGGUGACUGUGUAGGUGGAGCAGGGGGAUUACAGUUUCCUGUAACAGAGCUUCCUCGGAGCAGGGGCAGCUCGCCACAGCGUUGGCAGGAGAAGCCCGUGGGCACUGGUUUCACAAAGUUUGGCUUUUCAGGGUCAGGACCAGCCCUUUGGCUUUUGGAACCCUCUUGAUACCUCGUUUCCUACGGUCAAAUGAGCAGCCUCUUGUGAGCAAUGCGUGGCUCAUAGUAAGCGCCUGUUGGUGCUUGUUGAACGAGCAACAGACCUGUGAAGUUGUGAAUUCAACAGAUGUUCAAUUUCUUUUUAAGGAUUUUAUUUACUUAUUUGGCAGAAAGAGAGAGACAGAGAGUGCGAGCGAGCCCUAGCAGGGGGAGCGGCAGGAAGAGGGAGAGGGAGAAGCAGGCUCCCCGCUCAGCAGGGAGCCCCACAUGGGACUCAGUCCCAGCACCCUGAGAUCAUGACCUGAGCUGAAGGCAGAUGCAUAACCGACUGAGCCACCCAGGCACCCCUCAACAGAUGUUCUAAUUCAGCAAAUUGCAGAAUGUACUGUGAGGUUCUCCCCCACCCCGCCCCCUGAAAUCACUCUCAGCCUCCAGGCUACCAAAAAAAAAAAAAAAAAAAAAAAGGUUUCUUCCCACACUGCCAUAGAGUCCUUGAAUUUCAGUCCUUAUCUCAGGACAAGAGAUUAGGGAUUUGAAUUGUCAUUCUGUUCAUGGGAGGUAUCCUGGGCUGUCCACAGCAGCCCCCUGCCCUCUGGUCCUCGUGGAUGUCUGUGGCAGUAGCUCUGUGGUCACUCACAUGAGUCAUGAGUCCUGCUGACCAUCCUGGAGUUUGGAAAUUCUUCUGUCUUCCAUCCAAGGACAAAUUCUGUGGAGACCAAAGCUUAUUAACAAGAGGGGGAUGGAUGCUUCUUAAGAAAAAGAAUACAAAAUCAUACAAAGUUAGAUACCAUGAUGAAUAUUUAUCUAGAACGGGACCAGAAAUUGCAGCAAAUUGUAGAUUUUUUUUUUAAAGUGACAAUGCAAGCAAUGCAAAAUACAGGAAAAUACCUGCAAUAUUUUUCUUCCAUUUUCUACCAUUUUUGCUGCACACUCUUUGAUAGCUUUUUCAUAUGUCAACAGUUUUGAAUAUUUUCCAUAAAGAGAACCAAGAAAUAAUUCAAUCUUUUUAAAAGCAUGGUUGGUCAAAAAUUGUCUUGUAUUGUUAAUAAAGAUAUUUCUUAGCUUCACAACACAUUCUUGGUAACGUCCUAGACAUUUUUAGGAUGGUUAUCAACUCUGGGAAGAUCUUUAUCCUGUUUUUCAUGCCUGGAUAGUAAGGUUUCAGGGCAGGUCCAGUUUUCUUGUAUAUCGAUUUAUCUGAAAUAGUCUUCAAAUGGAUGACGUUCGUUAACGAUUUUGUCACUGUCCUUGCUGCAGUGGUGACUUAUGAUCUAAGCUGCCUUCACUGAUGUCAAAUCAGCACAAGAUGUAAAUAUUUCCCAGUGUUAUGGGAUGCAUCCCUCAUUAACUGGAUUAUCAGAAACCCACAGGCUCUUGGUUUCUUCUCUUCCACAAAGACCUCUUCCUCUUGAUGAAUUUCUAUUCCACAAUGAUCUCUUCCUCUUUUUUUUUCUUAAAGAUUUUAUUUAUUAGAGAGAGAGAGGGGGAGCACCAGAAGGGGGAAGGGCAGAUGGAGAGGGAGAAGCGGGCUCCCCAGCUGAGCAGGGAGCCCAAUGUGGCUCCAUCCCAGGACCCCAGGAUCCUGAUCUGAGCUGAAGGCAGGUGCUUCACCGACUGAGCCACCCAGUCGUCCCCACAAUGAUCUCUUCUUCUUGAAUUACUUUCGGUUAAAUUCAGUUCUCAUUUUCGAACCAAUGGCUGUUGACUUCAAUAUUUAUCUUUAUCCCU